UGCAGCGGCAGAUGAAAACAAGUAAUUUAUUUUAUUUGGAAUAUUUUAUUACCAAGUGGUGGCUUGGUUUUAGUCAGAUGGAAUAGCUUUUAUGACAUAGAUACUGCAGAACUGACCUUCCAGACAUCUGCUUAGCUGCCUGGCCUUCUCUUCCCAGAGGAACCCCAACAUCUGGCGCCUGAACAGGAACAUGACAGUGGAGACGUCUGCUGUGGAGGGCAACCUGCCUUCACUAUGUUCUUGGGUGGGACUUGGCCCCCAACACAUCAACUUCAUUUUCUUUGGAAAAUCCCCCGUGAGUCAUGGGGAAUUCCCUGCCUGAAGCACAGCAGAAACAUAAAGGCAGAGUUGCUUUUUCUCCUUAAGAAGGUCACGACAUGGAAGAGAAAGAUCUAUGAAUACAGGAAGAGCUCAAACAUCCAAAGCACACAGAACACCAGCACUAACUUUACAGGGUAAAGGAUGCCUUCCCUGGGCGCUGGGCAUGUAUGCGUGUGAGUGAGUAGGUACAGGUGUACUCUGUCUCCGUCCCGCUGCAGUGCUAUGAGACUCCUUGGGGAAAACUGAUGCCACAGUUCAGGUGACAGAUACCUGGACUACGUCAACGAUAAGAAUAAUUUUUAAAUACAUAAAUUUUACCUAGCAAGUUAGACCUGAAAAGGGAAAAAGAAAAACGGCAGAAAAUAAGACAGAGAGGCAUUUACUUUUGAG